ensembl:ncRNA C05G5.10 ncRNA
CUGCCAUUUCCGAUGCAUAAGUAUGGCUUCCCGCGAAAGAUUAUCGCAGUUUAUCCGCGGAUGACAUCCGGGCAAACGG